AUACGUAGGGGGCGAGCGUUGUCCGGAAUGAUUGGGCGUAAAGGGCGCGUAGGCGGCGCUUCAAGUCGUCUGUCAAAUGGGAGGGCUUAACCCUUUUUCGCAGACGAAACUGGAGAGCUUGAGAAGCAGAGAGGCAAACGGAAUUCCUGGUGUAGCGGUGAAAUGCGUAGAUAUCAGGAAGAAUACCAGUGGCGAAGGCGGUUUGCUGGCUGCAUACUGACGCUGAAGCGCGAAAGCCAGGGGAGCGAACGGGAUUAGAUACCCCGGUAGUCCUGGCAGUAAACGAUGUAUGCUGGGUGUGAGACUAGCGAUAGUUUCGUGCCGAAGUUAACGCGAUAAGCAUACCGCCUGGGGAGUACGGUCGCAAGAUUGAAACUCAAAUGAAUUGACGGGG
rnacentral:rRNA from 1 species